GAUUGUGAAGGUGAUCUGGCUGCAACAUCUGUCACCCCAUUGAUCACCAGGGUUGAUUCAGCUGAUCUGGCUGGAGACGUGGGUGUCCCCUUCCUCCCUCAUCGUUCCAUGUGUGUCCCUCCCAAAGCUGUGCGCUCAGCUGAAGAGGAUGACCAUCCCCAAUAGGGGAGGACCAUUCUUCGGUCAAGGGUAUAUGAGUAGCUGGCUCCCCUGCUAGAACCUCCAAACAAGCUCUCAAGAAUAAUACUGCUGCCUGGUGCAGUGGCUCACACUAUAAUCCCAGCUACUGAGGAAGCAGAAAU
rnacentral:snRNA from 1 species